rnacentral:rRNA from 1 species
GACGAACCGUACGAACGUUAUUCGGAAUUACUGGGCUUAAAGGGUGCGUAGGCGGUCGGGUAAGUCUGAUGUGAAAUCUCACAGCUUAACUGUGAAACUGCAUUGGAUACUAUCCGGCUCGAGGAAUGGAGGGGAGACUGGAAUACUUGGUGUAGCAGUGAAAUGCGUAGAUAUCAAGUGGAACACCAGUGGCGAAGGCGAGUCUCUGGACAUUUCCUGACGCUGAGGCACGAAAGCCAGGGGAGCAAACGGG